GAUGAACGCUAGCGGCAGGCCUAAUACAUGCAAGUCGAGGGGUAUCCCGCUUUCGGGCGGGAGAGACCGGCGCACGGGUGCGUAACGCGUAUGCAACCCACCCAUAUCUGGGGGAUAGCCCGGAGAAAUCCGGAUUAACACCGCAUAAAAUCACAGUACGGCAUCGUACAAUGAUCAAAUAUUGAUAGGAUAUGGAUGGGCAUGCGUGUCAUUAGCUGGUUGGCGGGGUAACGGCCCACCAAGGCGACGAUGACUAGGGGAUCUGAGAGGAUGGCCCCCCACACCGGUACUGUGACACGGUACAGACUCCUGCGGGCGGAAGCAGUAGGGAAGAUUGGUCAAUGGGCGGAAGCCUGAACCAGGCAUGCCGCGUGCAGGAAGACGUCCCUCUGGGUUGUAAACUGCUUUUAUUCGGGAAUAAACCUGCAUACGUGUAUGCAGCUGAACGUACCGAAGGAAUAGGGUUCGGCUAACUCCGUGCCAGCAGCCGCCGUAA
rnacentral:rRNA from 1 species